UACGUAGGGGGCAAGCGUUGUCCGGAUUUAUUGGGCGUAAAGCGCUCGCAGGUGGUCCGAUGCGUCGUGCGUGAAAGACCCCGGCUCAACUGGGGAGGGUCGUGCGAUACGGUCGGACUGGAGGCCAGUAGGGGGAUGCGGAAUUCCGGGUGUAGUGGUGGAAUGCGUAGAGAUCCGGAGGAACACCAGCGGCGAAGGCGGCAUCCUGGACUGGUCCUGACACUCAUGAGCGAAAGCGUGGGGAGCGAGUCCGG
rnacentral:rRNA from 1 species